GAGGGUAUAGCUCAGUGGUAGGGUGCGUGCCGAGGAUGCACAAGGUCCUGGGUUCAAUUCCCAGUACCUCCA
rnacentral:tRNA from 1 species